rnacentral:rRNA from 1 species
GACAGAGGGUGCAAACGUUGUUCGGAAUUACUGGGCGUAAAGCGCGUGUAGGCGGCUUUGCAAGUCGGAUGUGAAAUCCCACGGCUCAACCUGGGGGCUGCGCUUGAUACUGAUUGGCUUGAAUGCGGGAGAGGAUAGUGGAAUUCCCAGUGUAGAGGUGAAAUUCGUAGAUAUUGGGAAGAACACCGGUGGCGAAGGCGGCUAUCUGGCCCGUAAUCGACGCUGAGGCGCGAAAGCGUGGGGAGCAAACAGG